AUAGAAAACUGAAAAAAAAAAAAAGAGAAAUCUUUGUACAAAAAAUUGACCUUAUCAAGUGAUUAUUUCUUUUUUUAUUACACUGCAAGAUGUCAAUUGCAAUGUGUGUAUUCCUUACCACAUCUUGUUGUCUUAUUGUGUUAAUCAAAUUAAAAUUGCUACAGUAUCUACGAAGAAUUUUCUUGGUUGGUUCUAAUGCUUUAAAUUGAGAGUAAGUUGGUCAAUUUGUUUCUAGAAUUGCUAAUUUUAUCCUUUAAUAUUGUAAUAGCUAGUUUGUCUCCUUUUUUACUGCUUUCUUCUGUUUCUCCCCCUAUUUUCUUUUUUGGUGCUUACUGAAACUGUUAAUAUAUCUUCAACAAUCUGCAGGUUUCAGCAAAACUUG
rnacentral:misc_RNA from 1 species